rnacentral:misc_RNA from 1 species
AACACUGUUAACCUGCGGUACCUGCGGAAGGAUCAUUACAGGACUCGCAAGACUCCUACAACCCUGUGAACCUACUAUACGAACGUUGCUUCGGCGGGUGCGCCCCGGGGAUUCGUUCCCGAGGCGCGUCAGCCCGCCGGCAGCCUACAAAUUCUGUUUCUUUGCGUUGGCAUCUCGAGAAAAAACAAAUAAGUUAAAACUUUCAACAAUGGAUCU